rnacentral:rRNA from 1 species
AGUGAACGCUGGCGGAAUGCUUUACACAUGCAAGUCGAGCGGCAGCACGGGGGGAACCCGGGUGGCGAGGGGCGAACGGGUGGGUAAUACAGCGGAACAUGCCCAGUUGUGGGGGAUAACACGACAAAGGAAGGACAAAUACGCCAAACGCGCAGAGGGGGAAAGGGGGGGAGCAGAAGACCUUGGGCGAUUGCAGGAGCCGAUGUCAGAUUAGCUAGUUGGUGGGGUAAAGGCCUACCAAGGCAACGAUCCGUAGCUGGUCUGAGAGGAUGAUCAGCCACACUGGAACUGAGACACGGCCCAGACUCCUACGGGAGGCAGCAGUGGGGAAUUUUGGACAAUGGGGGCAACCCUGAUCCAGCCAUUCCGCGUGAGUGAAGAAGGCCUUCGGGUUGUAAAGCUCUUUCGUCAGGAACGAAACGCUGCGCUCUAACAUAGCUCGCUACUGACGGUACCUAAAGAAGAAGCACCGGCUAACUACGUG